rnacentral:rRNA from 1 species
CCUACGGGAGGCAGCAGUAGGGAAUUUUGCGCAAUGGGGGAAACCCUGACGCAGCAACGCCAUGUGUGGGAUGAAGCAUUUCGGUGUGUAAACCACUGUCAGCGGGGACUAAACGGCCGCAUAGGCCUUUGAAUGUACCCGCAGAGGAAGCCCCGGCUAACUUCGUGCCAGCAGCCGCGGUAAUACGAGGGGGGCUAGUGUUGUUCGGAAUCACUGGGCGUAAAGGGAGCGUAGGCGGGAGCCUAAGUUGGGUGUUUAAUUCCGGGGCCCAACCCCGGGCGUGCACUCAAAACUGGGUUUCUUGAAUAGGGGAGAGGUCGAUGGAAUUGGAGGUGUAGCGGUGGAAUGCGUAGAGAUCUCCAAGAACACCGGUUGCGAAGGCGGUCGACUGGACCCAUAUUGACGCUGAGGCUCGAAAGCGUGGGGAGCAAACAGGAUUA